UACGGGGGGAGCAAGCGUUGUUCGGAAUUACUGGGCGUAAAGGGCGCGUAGGCGGUUCGCUAAGUUGAAUGUGAAAACUCUGGGCUUAACCCAGAGCCUGCAUUCAAUACUGGCGGGCUAGAGUUCUGGAGGGGAUAGCGGAAUUCCUGGUGUAGCGGUGAAAUGCGUAGAUAUCAGGAGGAACACCGGUGGCGAAGGCGGCUAUCUGGACAGAGUCUGACGCUGAGGCGCGAAAGCUAGGGGAGCAAACAGG
rnacentral:rRNA from 1 species